GGACUACCCGGGUAUCUAAUCCCGUUUGCUCCCCUAGCUUUCGCGCUUCAGUGUCAGUUUCGGUCCAGAGGGCCGCCUUCGCCACCGGUGUUCCUCCCAAUAUCUACGCAUUUCACCGCUACACUGGGAAUUCCACCCUCCUCUACCGUACUCAAGCUGGACAGUAUCAAAUGCAAUUCCCGAGUUAAGCCCGGAGCUUUCACAUCUGACUUACCCAACCACCUACGCGCCCUUUACGCCCAAUAAUUCCGGACAACGUUAGUCACCUCUGUAUUACCGCGGCGGCUGGCAC
rnacentral:rRNA from 1 species